AUUGAACGCUGGCGGCAUGCUUUACACAUGCAAGUCGAACGGCAGCACGGGGGCUUGCUCCUGGUGGCGAGUGGCGAACGGGUGAGUAAUGCAUCGGAACGUACCCAGUAGUGGGGGAUAGCCCGGCGAAAGCCGGAUUAAUACCGCAUAUUUCCUGAGGGAGAAAGCGGGGGGACCUUCGGGCCUCGCGCUACUGGAGCGGCUGAUGUCGGAUUAGCUAGUUGGUGAGGUAAAGGCUCACCAAGGCGACGAUCCGUAGCUGGUCUGAGAGGAUGAUCAGCCACACUGGGACUGAGACACGGCCCAGACUCCUACGGGAGGCAGCAGUGGGGAAUUUUGGACAAUGGGGGCAACCCUGAUCCAGCCAUGCCGCGUGAGUGAAGAAGGCCUUCGGUUGUAAGACUCUUUCAGGUGGAAGAAAGUACACUA
rnacentral:rRNA from 1 species